rnacentral:rRNA from 1 species
AUUGAACGCUGGCGGCAUGCUUUACACAUGCAAGUCGAACGGUAACAGGCCGCAAGGUGCUGACGAGUGGCGAACGGGUGAGUAAUGCAUCGGAACGUGCCCAGUCGUGGGGGAUAACUGCUCGAAAGAGCAGCUAAUACCGCAUACGAUCUAUGGAUGAAAGCGGGGGACCGUAAGGCCUCGCGCGAUUGGAGCGGCCGAUGUCAGAUUAGGUAGUUGGUGGGGGAAAGGCUCACCAAGCCAACGAUCUGUAGCUGGUCUGAGAGGACGACCAGCCACACUGGGACUGAGACACGGCCCAGACUCCUACGGGAGGCAGCAGUGGGGAAUUUUGGACAAUGGGGGCAACCCUGAUCCAGCAAUGCCGCGUGCAGGAAGAAGGCCUUCGGGUUGUAAACUGCUUUUGUACGGAACGAAACGGUCUGGGUUAAUACCCUGAGCUAAUGACGGUACCGUAAGAAUAAGCACCGGCUAACUACGUGCCAGCCGCCGCCGUAACAC